UCCCGCAACUCACGCUCUGGUCAGAACCCAGUCUGCCCCGGAAGGCUUGGCUUAGGUGCCAUCUCCUCCCAGAAUUCUUUUCUGAUUCCCGCCCCCGGCCCAAAGGUUUCUCUUCCUCCUCUUGGGUCCCCCUUUUCGUCCUAUUUUCAAACUGCCUCGUGUUUUCCCCAGCAGAUGCAUCUUGACGCCUCAGUGCUGUGUGACUACUGGAAACCAUUGCUGCAACCCAGGGUCUUGGCCCAUGAGUCAGCCCCUCCCUGACCCUGUCACUUGAGGUGUAGGCUUCUCCUCCACAUGGGCCCCUGCUUCCCACAAAGUGAUGUGACUUGGACCUCUGAGGUGAUGGAGAAACAGGCUAGUUGCUGAGGUCUGUGUUCCCGGGAUCAGCUAAAAUGGAAUUCCUGGCUGAUUCUUAACUACUGGACCACCAGGAAAGUCUCAUCGUUUGCUUCUGGAAACUUCUCUGCAUGGGCCUUAGGCCCCAAGGACCACAGGUGGCUUUGCUGACAGAUGACAGAAUCUGAGCUUCAGGCUACUCCCUCCACAUUCCCCAUGGUCAUAGUCCUGCAGGAGGACCCAAGACCCUUCUCCAAGGGGGCCGUGGGGUAGUAGGGUACAGAUGUCAGGGCUUCUGGAGUCAGAGAGAUGUAGCUUCCAAUCCCAGCUCUGCCCUUUACUGUGCUGGGGUAACUGCUGUCUCAUUUGAGUCUCAGUUGUCUUCUGAAAGAUGGGGAUAAUCCCUUGCAAAUGCCACAUAGAUAUGUACACAUAAAGCGCUGGCUUGCAGGUGUUAGGCCGUAUCACUUUCACUCCCCACUCCUCACCCUUCCUGACUGGCUGCUGCCCCAGUCCUGGGACAACCGCUGCCCCACUCCCAUUUUCAGCCCUACCUUGGGGAGCCAUUCCAAGCAUCACAAUACCAGGGAUGACCGCCAGGUGGCACCCACCCCUCUAGCUCCCUGUCCCCAGGCUUGGCUUUGCAGACUACCAUGGAUUUCCUUACUUUUCUUCUAUGGUUUAUAUUCAAUAAAAGGGGCACCAUGGUUACAUCAGGAUCCAGAGUUCUGGCUGAGAACUAUCUUCUUCCCCCACCCCAUUGGGCAGGCAAGAAGAGAGGGCUUGUCUGUUCCCCUCCUCCCUCUACCCAUGUGGGCUUCCUAUGGUGCCUGGUGCCAGCC
ensembl:lncRNA